rnacentral:rRNA from 1 species
AUUGAACGCUGGCGGCAGGCUUAACACAUGCAAGUCGAACGAGUGGCGGACGGGUGAGUAAUGCUUGGGCAUCUAGCUUAUGGAGGGGGAUAACUACGGGAAACUGUAGCUAAUACCGCGUACCAUAGGAUGAGCCCAAGUGGGAUUAGGUAGUUGGUGAGGUAAAGGCUCACCAAGCGGACGAUCUCUAGCUGGUCUGAGAGGAUGACCAGACACAUUGGGACUGAGACACGGCCCAGACUCCUACGGGAGGCAGCAGGGGGGAAUAUUGGGCAAGGGGGGCAACCCUGACGCAGCCAUGCCGCGUGAAUGAAGAAGGCCUUCGGGUUGUAAAGUUCUUUCAGCGGGGAGGCGUUACCCGCAGAAGAAGCACCGGCUAACUCCGUGCCAGCCGCCGCGGUAAUAC